rnacentral:rRNA from 1 species
UUACCUACGGGGGGCAGCAGUAGGGAAUUUUCGUCAAUGGGCGCAAGCCUGAACGAGCGAUGCCGCGUGAGUGAAGAAGGCCUUCGGGUCGUAAAGCUCUGUUGCGGGGGAAAAAAGGCAGCAUCAGGAAAUGGGUGCUGACUGAUGGUGCCCCGCCAGAAAGUCACGGCUAACUACGUGCCAGCAGCCGCGGUAAUACGUAGGUGGCGAGCGUUAUCCGGAAUGAUUGGGCGUAAAGGGUGCGCAGGCGGUUCUUCACGUCUGGAGUGCAAGGCGGG